ensembl:lncRNA
CCACGGUGUUUGCUCUACAGGUAUGAUUUUACCCUCAAAAUGUAGCCAUCGCUGUCCUCUUUCAUCCAAUGUGUUUACUAUUGUACUAGGUGUUAUGGUUCUUUCAUAAAUGUCACCAAAGCACAGCCUCCUCCCUCCAACUCCUCCAUAGACUCUAAUGUUAAAAUGGCUCAGAAGGUUCGUUUGAAAACCAGAAGUACAGGCUGUCUUUACACUGUCACCACGUCCAUAUAAUAAACUCCACAAGCAUGAAAACUGAGAAUUAGGUAGACUGGACAUUGCUGUCGCUCACGGUGAAAGAAUUUUGUCAAUAGGACCUGUACUUUUCAUUUGGGAGCGAUUUGUUUCGACCUGACUUUUCUAUUCAUUUUAAGCAGCAAAAGUG